UACGAAGGGUGCAAGCGUUACUCGGAAUUACUGGGCGUAAAGCGCGCGUAGGCGGCUUUUCAAGUCGGGCGUGAAAGCCCCGGGCUCAACCUGGGAAUGGCAAUGGAUACUGGCAAGCUAGAGUGCGGUAGAGGGUAGUGGAAUUCCCGGUGUAGCGGUGAAAUGCGUAGAGAUCGGGAGGAACACCAGUGGCGAAGGCGGCUACCUGGACCAGCACUGACACUGAGGCACGAAAGCGUGGGGAGCAAACAGG
rnacentral:rRNA from 1 species